rnacentral:rRNA from 1 species
UACGAAGGGGGCUAGCGUUGCUCGGAAUCACUGGGCGUAAAGGGUGCGUAGGCGGGUCUUUAAGUCAGGGGUGAAAUCCUGGAGCUCAACUCCAGAACUGCCUUUGAUACUGGAGAGCUUGAGUCCGGAAGAGGUGAGUGGAACUCCGAGUGUAGAGGUGAAAUUCGUAGAUAUUCGGAAGAACACCAGUGGCGAAGGCGGCUCACUGGUCCGGUACUGACGCUGAGGUGCGAAAGCGUGGGGAGCAAACAGGG